UCAGAAGGAUGCUGUAGCUCAUGUACCUUGUGUGGGAUAUACUGUAGCGCUUUGUUGCAGUGAAGUAGCAGCUGUGUCAUUAACUGUUCCAAUUCAUACUGGUUAUUCUGCCUCCUUCAGUUUUUCUAAUUCCUGGACGAAUUUGGGUACCAAUGCUUGGCACAGUGCAUCACCAUUUCUGCAUUUCACCUGCAUCAUCAAAUUUGGAGGACUGGAAGCAGUGAGAGACAGAUCCCAAGUUCUGGAGAGAGACUGGUGUUAGUUCCAGGUCAUCCUUGUGAAUUUUAGUUUGUAGCUAUACUCCUGUACUUCAGUUCCAUCUUCCAUGCCAAACUUCAGGUCCUCUGCUGGACUCAGGGACCCAGACUGCUUAAUCAGAGUAGAAGUUACUGUUUUUUAAGUAGGCUCCACACCCAGCUUGGAGCCCAAUGCAGGGCUUGAACUCACGACCCUGGGAUCAAGACCUGAGCUGAGAUCAAGAGUCGGAUGCUUAACCAACUGAGCCACACAGGAGUUUCAUAGUUUUGCUAAAGAUCCGGAAAAACAACCACAAUACUGAGAAGAAUAAAGUCAGAAAACUGACACUACCGGACUUUAAUAAUUACUAAAAACUGACAGUCAUCAAUGCAGUGUGAUCCUGGCAUAAGAACAGACAAAUAGAUGAGUGGAACAGACCCAUGUAAGUAUAAUCAACUGAGGGGCAAAGAUAAUGCAAUGAAUAAAUUAACAAUCUUUUCAACAUAUAGUGCUAGACCAACUAAAUAUAUAUGAGCAAAAAAAAAAAUAAAUCUAGCCAUAGAAUCUAUACUCUUCACAAAAAUUAACUUAAAUUAGAUUUUAGGCUGAAAUUAACAAAAGAAUUAUCUUCAAGAAAAUAUUGAUCUCUUUAAAUGUAUGUGGCAGUUCUUUUUACGCCCAGGCUUCCUACUCCUAAAUCUUGAGAAUAUUUUUUUAUAAUAUUGGGAUUAUCUUGUUCUUCAGUGUUUGACAGGAUUCUCAAUAAAAUUAUUUGGAUUUUAUCUUUAUUUCAGCAAAAAUUAUUUAAUUUCUUGGGGCACUGGAGUGGCUCAGUUGGUUCAGCAUCCAACUUCAGCUCAGGUCAUGAUCUCUCUGUUCAUGAGUUCAAGUCCUGCAUUGGGUUCUGUGCUGACAGCUCAGAGCCUAGAGCCUGCUCUGGAUUCUUUGUGUGUGUG